rnacentral:rRNA from 1 species
AGCGAACGCUGGCGGCAGGCCUAACACAUGCAAGUCGAACGAAGUCUUCGGACUUAGUGGCGGACGGGUGAGUAACACGUGGGAACGUACCUUUUGGUUCGGAACAACUCAGGGAAACUUGAGCUAAUACCGGAUGAGCGCUUAGGGGGAAAGAUUUAUCGCCGAAAGAGCGGCCCGCGUUAGAUUAGCUAGUUGGUGAGGUAAAGGCUCACCAAGGCUACGAUCUAUAGCUGGUCUGAGAGGAUGAUCAGCCGCACUGGGACUGAGACACGGCCCAGACUCCUACGGGAGGCAGCAGUGGGGAAUCUUGCGCAAUGGGCGAAAGCCUGACGCAGCCAUGCCGCGUGAAUGAUGAAGGUCUUAGGAUUGUAAAAUUCUUUUACCAGGGACGAUAAUGACGGUACCUGGAGAAAAAGCCCCGGCUAACUUCGUGCCAGCAGCCGCCGUAAAAC